rnacentral:rRNA from 1 species
GACGAACGCUGGCGGCGUGCCUAACACAUGCAAGUCAACUUGACUGAAGGAGCAAUCUGACAGUAGAGUGGCGCAAGGGUGCGUAACGCGUAAGUAACUUGCCCAAGGUAAGGAAUAACGUCGAGAAAUCGGCGCUAAUACCUCAUAAUGCAGCGGAUCCGCAUGGAUAUGUUGUUAAAGGUUUACCGCCUUGGGAUAGGCUUGCGUCUGAUUAGCUAGUUGGUGUGGUAACGGCACACCAAGGCUACGAUCAGUAACUGGUCUGAGAGGAUGAUCAGUCACACUGGAACUGAGACACGGUCCAGACUCCUACGGGAGGCAGCAGUGAGGAAUAUUGGGCAAUGCUCGAAAGAGUGACCCAGCAACGCCGCGUGGAGGAUGAAGGUAUUCUAUACGUACGUAA